GAAGCUUUGGCUUGGAUAAAUGAGCUUGGGUUUAAUAAUAUUAUAGUAGAAUCAGACUGUUUAAAUUUUUGUCUUGCUUUUAAUUCCCGUACUCUAGACUUUUCGUAUGUUGGUUAAGUUGUUAAGCAAUGUUGUGUUUUUGUUG